UACGUAGGGUGCAGGCGUUAAUCGGAAUUACUGGGCGUAAAGCGUGCGCAGGCGGUCUGCUAAGAGAGGUGUGAAAUCCCCGGGCUCAACUGGGGAGGGUCACUCGAUACUGAUCGACUUGAAGGCAGGAGAGGGAAGCGGAAUUCCCGGUGUAGUGGUGAAAUGCGUAGAUAUCGGGAGGAACACCAGUGGCGAAGGCGGCUUCCUGGCCUGUUCUUGACGCUGAGGCGCGAAAGCUAGGGGAGCAAACGGG
rnacentral:rRNA from 1 species